GGAGAAAAAAAGAAAAAAUCAAAAGAUCUUGAUGAAAAGAAACCAAAACAUAAACGUCGAAGUACCAGUAAACACUCGGACUCUGAGGAAGAUAGUAUCCCUAGUCUACUAGCAAACAAACCAGAACUCAGUAAAUUACUAGGCUUAUCAAGAUUACCAGAUUUAGAAGAACUGCAAAAGAAUUUGUCUGCAUAUUUGGAAACCUCAAAAUUGGAGAAAGAAGUUGCAGAAAAAGUAAAAAAGAAAUCCUCAGAAAAACGUUCGUCCAGCAACAGUAAACCAGUGAAAUCCAAGGCAGCAGUCUCACCCUCUCCAGAACCCAGAAGGGAUUACGAGCGAGAACAGCCAGAAAGUAGUUUUAAUGGAAAAUCUCGUUCCGAAAAGAGAAAAGUUAGCUUGUCACCGAUUCCUAGGCCGAAAGAACCUUCAAAGACACCACCACCAAAGUUUAAAAUGCACAUCAACCCCACUGGUGCUUGGUAAGUUUGCAAACCUCUACAAUUUUACAUACAUUGCAAAACAAUUUUAAUUUAUUUUAAACUAAGUGUAUACAUCAUAUUGUCUCUUUCCUGACGAAAGGACGUAAUUACUUUUCGUAAUGAACCUUGUCUGUGUAACUCAAUGCUUUCCCAGUUUCAUCUCUUAGUGUCGUUUUGCCCUUUUGUCAGCCAAGCGACAGUAUCUAACAACAAUUCGCGCAUCAUUAAACUUCAUCACGGAAUUCUUUAAUUUAAUUUGAAUGGGUAGAAAGUUCUUUAAUUUUUAAGGGCAGCUUUGUAACAAGGUAAGAAAAAAGGCCUCUCCAUGGCAAAAAUGACAAGAAAUUUCUUUUACCUUUUUUUUUGUAAAUUUCAGAAUAUUUUAUCCUCUAAAGAGAAUACGUUUUUCUUGUAUAAACAGCAAAAUAAAAAGCCAUUUUGUAAAAUUCGGAAAAUAUUCAUAAUCCAAUGAAAAAAAAAAGAAAAAAGCGUUAGUGUAGUGCGACACAAAAGUGUCACAGAACGUGUAAGAAGGUAGUGAUACAGUUAAAAAGAGCAACAAAAACAACUUAAGAAAGAAUAAUCACUUUCUGCUGAAACAUUGAUUCAAUUCUUAUUUAUUUUAUUUCUCUAAAACAAUAUGUUUUAACUUUUAAUCAAUUUUCCAGGAGUAAAAGAAAGAGAAGGAGAGAGAAAGCAAAGACUCUUGGACUGACU
rnacentral:lncRNA from 1 species